GCGCCCGUCGUUCAAUGGAUAGGACACGGCCCUGCGAAGGCUGAAAUUGAGGUUCGAUUCCUCAUGGGCGCA
rnacentral:tRNA from 1 species